rnacentral:misc_RNA from 1 species
AUAAUAACAAGUUGUGAGCUUUCAUUGGUUGGUAGUUGUGUGCAUUUUAGUAUGCGUUGAGCUUAAAAAAAAUUUCCAAGUAAAUCCAAAAUGAAGGAAAAGCCAAUGACCAAUGCUGAGAAGGCAGUGUAGUUGGCUUUGAAUCUAUUGGAACAUUCUGAAAGAAAAUUAUUAUUUCAGCGAGUUUUGAGUUUUUCUGCACUGCUACGCUUCUGCAAUGACUAGGGACACUGCUUGUUCUUUCUGUUAUUCUGAUGAUAUACUAUGGACACUGUUGGUCCUUUCUGUUAUGCUGAUUGUCAUCAGAAUAUUUUGCCUAACCAACCUCAAGCCCUAGCCAGGCCUGUCAUGGUCGCAUACCUGAAUUUGUUACAUUCAUUUUGCAUCUACUAUUAAUUCUCAAUUAUAUGUAUUUCCAGUUCAGUAAAGAUUUCGACAUGUUAAUACCUUCUUAAUGUGUUUACCUUACCCACCAUGAGCAGAAAGGAGAAAGGGGGCACUCAACAGCAUAUAACUUAAUUUUCUUUUAUAUACCUGAAUUCUCAACUAUAUAUGUAUAUUGGAAUUAGAAAAUGUCAUCUUUUGUUCCUUUUUUUUAGUCCUUUUUUUUUAAUAUAAAGAAUCAUUAUUAGUUUAUUAUUUUUAUUGUCCCAAAUUGGUGCAUCAGUUCUAGGUGGUUCAUGUUGAAUUAUUUUCACAUUAUACAGUGUGUGCGAGGAGAUGAUGCAGAGCCCAUGGAAGCUCAUGUACGAGCGCAGAUGUACUAUAUUGUGCCUUGCUUUUUCUUGUUUGAUAGAAGUAGAAAGCUCUUGCAUUUCGUGUUGAAUGGGAUGGGUUCAUUGAUAACUAAAAGUACUACCGGACACUCAAAUAGG